rnacentral:lncRNA from 1 species
ACCUUAUCUAUAUAGUUUAAGUUGAUUUUUAUUUUUGACCGCUUACGACAGCGAUCAGAGAGACUUAAGCUAGAUCAGAUGUUAUCAGUGUGACAAGUUGGGGCAUCUAGUCAAAGCUUGCUCUCAACUCAAGGAUCAGACAAGGGCUACUACAGCGACAGCCAGUAGCGAGUCAGAGGAUAAUACUUUAAAAAUAUCUGACGAGG